UCUCUUCUUCACGUACAGUGCGCUCUCUCAAACCAAAACCACUGAACUGAAAAUCCAGCGCCUUGAACCCAAAUAUCUUGCCAAAUCCAAACUCGAUCUCCUCUGAAAACUAAAAAACCUUGAAGAACCUCCCCCUCCAUCCUCCAUCUCUGUUUGACAAACACAGAAAAUCUCAUUUUGCAUCUGAAAGUUUUUUUCAAACCAUACAACCAAUCCAUCCAAACCUCAUAUCAUGAUGCUCGUUUCAUGGGUCUGGGUCUGGGUCUGUAUUCAUUCACUAUGCUGGUAAGCCAUUCGAUUCACUGUUAAGCGAUUUAGGAUUUUUGUUGGAUUGUGGAUUUAGGGUUUUAAUUUGAAAUUUCCUUUGAAAUUUGAUUUGUUUUCGAUGGUUUAUGGUCGAAUUGGGGAUACGGGGUUAUCGAAUAUAAGAAAUUGGUGUUUUCUGUCUCUGAGCUCAACAAGCAAUUUCAGAAGAAGCUGGUGUUUCAGAUCCUGAUUCAGAGAGUCAGGUAUUCAUUAAACGAAUUUUGGCUGCUCCCUAUGAGAAAGAGGUUGAAUUCGAGCUUGUUCUGAUAGACAUGAGAGCUUGUGAACAUAAGAGGGAGUCAUGUGCAAAGACCAAGUGUUGAAUCUUGGAUCUUGUGCUUUUUCUUGAUAUGUGCUGAAGUGGGUAUCAAUGGUGUUUGGUAUCAUCUGCAUCUCAUACGGUGAAUUUGCUCCACAAUAAGAAGCAUGGCACAAACUAUCUUUACAAAAUACAUUAAGGCAAUUGAAUUCGG
rnacentral:lncRNA from 1 species